AUAUCUCUCCGUACGGGAAGGAUGAGAAGCUUCGACUAAGGUUCGAUUCGAGCGAAAGCGAGAAAGCGUUGCCAACGGCAACGACCCGAAGGGCGAAGCGC
rnacentral:sRNA from 1 species